rnacentral:rRNA from 1 species
UACGUAUGGAGCAAGCGUUAUCCGGAUUUACUGGGUGUAAAGGGAGCGUAGGCGGCCUGGCAAGUCUGGUGUGAAAUACCGGGGCCCAACCCCGGGACUGCAUUGGAAACUGCCAGGCUGGAGUGUCGGAGGGGCAGGCGGAAUUCCUAGUGUAGCGGUGAAAUGCGUAGAUAUUAGGAGGAACAUCGGUGGCGAAGGCGGCCUGCUGGACGACAACUGACGCUGAGGCUCGAAAGCGUGGGGAGCAAACAGG